rnacentral:lncRNA from 1 species
GGUUUUAUAUGUACAUAGAUAUUCUGAAGUGUUUACACAACUGAUUUAUUAAACUUCCUGCUAUCAUUGACGUAGCUUUUUUACGCGAUAAAACACUAUCCUACCAGUUUUAUCAAAUACAAACGAAUAUGUGUUAAGUUUAUAAUUAUUUCCUUGUUAUAAAACAUUCCUACACAAAAAGGCAUGUCACGCGGUUUUAAAAUGCAUAGCUAAGCCAGGUUUACAAUUAAAAUAUCAUUGUUUUAUAACUGAGGGCGUAUAAAGUGUGAUAAAACAGCUUAAUCGAUGAGCUGUGAGCUUAACCAAACCCUCGCAGGAAAGAAACUUAACUGUCCUUUCACUAAACACGGUGAGGAUGCGUACACCUGAUAUUGCCACUUAAUGAUAAGGUAUUUUCCGAAAACGUGUUUAUUUUCCGUCAGCAAGAUUCAACUUGUUUAUGCGUGUUUAUAGCUGGCUCGACGAACGAAUUUAAGGCCAUUGUAUGUCAUUUUGUUGAACACCACCCAAAAGACGAGAAUAUUAUAGUACGCUAACGACCAAAACCGCAAA